rnacentral:ncRNA from 2 species
GCUUUGAAGCGGGGGUACCAUAGCCAAGCUGCGGUUGAGACACACCCUUCGAACCUGAUCCGGUUUACACCGGCGUAGGAAAGCUUCGUGGACCGCGCC